ACAUGCAAGUCGAGGGGCAGCAUGAAGUAGCAAUACUUUGAUGGCGACCGGCAAACGGGUGCGGAACACGUACACAACCUUCCUUUUAGUGGGGAAUAGCCCAGAGAAAUUUGGAUUAAUACCCCGUAACACAACGAAGUGGCAUCACUUUGUUGUUAUAGUUUCGGCGCUUAAUGAUGGGUGUGCGUAUGAUUAGAUAGUUGGCGAGGUAACGGCUCACCAAGUCUACGAUCAUUAGCUGAUGUGAGAGCAUGAUCAGCCACACGGGCACUGAGACACGGGCCCGACUCCUACGGGAGGCAGCAGUAAGGAAUAUUGGUCAAUGGACGCAAGUCUGAACCAGCUAUGCCGCGUGAAGGAUUAAGGUCCUCUGGAUUGUAAACUUCUUUUAUCUGGGACGAAAAAAGGUCUUUCUAGAUCACUUGACGGUACCAGAUGAAUAAGCACCGGCUAACUCCGUGCCAGCAGCCGCGGUAAUACGGAGGGUGCAAGCGUUAUCCGGAUUCACUGGGUUUAAAGGGUGCGUAGGCGGGCAGGUAAGUCAGUGGUGAAAUCCUGGAGCUCAACUCCAGAACUGCCAUUGAUACUAUCUGUCUUGAAUAUUGUGGAGGUAAGCGGAAUAUGUCAUGUAGCGGUGAAAUGCUUAGAUAUGACAUAGAACACCCAUUGCGAAGGCAGCUUACUACGCAUAUAUUGACGCUGAGGCACGAAAGCGUGGGGAUCAAACAGGAUUAGAUACCCUGGUAGUCCACGCCCUAAACGAUGGAUACUCGACAUACGCGAUACACUGUGUGUGUCUGAGCGAAAGCAUUAAGUAUCCCACCUGGGAAGUACGUUCGCAAGAAUGAAACUCAAAGGAAUAGGCGGGGGUCCGCACAAGCGGAGGAGUAUGUGGU
rnacentral:rRNA from 1 species